rnacentral:rRNA from 1 species
GUCUAUGGCCAUACCACCUGAACGCGCCCGAUCUCAUCUGAUCUCAGAAGCUAAGCAGGGGGCCUGGUUAAUACUUGGAUGGGAGAUGCAAAAUCUAAGCCACCAGGAUGAGUAGGAGUCAGGCC